rnacentral:misc_RNA from 1 species
UCAAACUUGGUCAUUUAGAGGAAGUAAAAGUCGUAACAAGGUUUCCGUAGGUGAACCUGCGGAAGGAUCAUUAUCAAGUGAGCCCCUGUUUCGGGGUAUCGCCUGCCCGUGUUUAUUAUACUUUUGUUGCUUUGGCGGGCCGUGGCCUCCACUGUGGGUUUUGCUCGCAAGUGCCCGCCAGAGGACCAAACUCUGAAUGUUAGUGAUGUCUGAGUAUUAUUUAAUAAUUAAAACUUUCAACAACGGAUCUCUUGGUUCUGGCAUCGAUGAAGAACGCAGC